rnacentral:rRNA from 1 species
GACGAACGCUGGCGGCGUGCUUAACACAUGCAAGUCGAACGGAAAGGCCCUGCUUUUGUGGGGUGCUCGAGUGGCGAACGGGUGAGUAACACGUGAGUAACCUGCCCUUGACUUUGGGAUAACUUCAGGAAACUGGGGCUAAUACCGGAUAGGAGCUCCUGCUGCAUGGUGGGGGUUGGAAAGUUUCGGCGGUUGGGGAUGGACUCGCGGCUUAUCAGCUUGUUGGUGGGGUAGUGGCUUACCAAGGCUUUGACGGGUAGCCGGCCUGAGAGGGUGACCGGCCACAUUGGGACUGAGAUACGGCCCAGACUCCUACGGGAGGCAGCAGUGGGGAAUAUUGCACAAUGGGCGGAAGCCUGAUGCAGCAACGCCGCGUGCGGGAUGACGGCCUUCGGGUUGUAAACCGCUUUCGCCUGUGACGAAGCGUGAGUGACGGUAAUGGGUAAAGAAGCACCGGCUAACUACGUGCCAGCAGCCGCGGUGAUACGUAGGGUGCGAGCGUUGUCCGGAUUUAUUGGGCGUAAAGGGCUCGUAGGUGGUUGAUCGCGUCGGAAGUGUAAUCUUGGGGCUUAACCCUGAGCGUGCUUUCGAUACGGGUUGACUUGAGGAAGGUAGGGGAGAAUGGAAUUCCUGGUGGAGCGGUGGAAUGCGCAGAUAUCAGGAGGAACACCAGUGGCGAAGGCGGUUCUCUGGGCCUUUCCUGACGCUGAGGAGCGAAAGCGUGGGGAGCGAACAGGCUUAGAUACCCUGGUAGUCCACGCUGUAAACGGUGGGUACUAGGUGUGAGGUCCAUUCCACGGGUUCCGUGCCGUAGCUAACGCUUUAAGUACCCCGCCUGGGGAGUACGGCCGCAAGGCUAAAACUCAAAGGAAUUGACGGGGCCCCGCACAAGCGGCGGAGCAUGCGGAUUAAUUCGAUGCAACGCGUAGAACCUUACCUGGGUUUGACAUGGAUCGGGAGUGCUCAGAGAUGGGUGUGCCUCUUUUGGGGUCGGUUCACAGGUGGUGCAUGGCUGUCGUCAGCUCGUGUCGUGAGAUGUUGGGUUAAGUCCCGCAACGAGCGCAACCCUUGUUCACUGUUGCCAGCACGUUAUGGUGGGGACUCAGUGGAGACCGCCGGGGUCAACUCGGAGGAAGGUGGGGAUGACGUCAAGUCAUCAUGCCCCUUAUGUCCAGGGCUUCACGCAUGCUACAAUGGCUGGUACAGAGAGUGGCGAGCCUGUGAGGGUGAGCGAAUCUCGGAAAGCCGGUCUCAGUUCGGAUUGGGGUCUGCAACUCGACCUCAUGAAGUCGGAGUCGCUAGUAAUCGCAGAUCAGCAACGCUGCGGUGAAUACGUUCCCGGG